GUGUUUUCAAGACCUAGGCCACACGUCUUUCACUUGCCAGUCAACUAAACAGACAACCAAUUGGACACACAGUCAGCUGCGCAAAGUCAGCUGUUUUUCCCUGCAGAAGGUCCAGAGACUUCGUCAAGGGGAACGGACCGAGUUCCCUCAUCCUGUCGACUUCGCUGUUUCCCCACUGCUGCCACUGAGGAAACCAGCCCACCGCCGCCAUUCCCAGGAUGAAAUACCGGCCCUGGCCUGUUUUCGGCCAUGGACCUUGACCACUGCGCAAUCCGAUUGCUACGGAGCAGCACAAAUACCACCAGCCUGCCAGCUACUGUUUCUCAAGUGCUUCUCCUUCAGCAUCACCACCAUACCCCUGCUGCAGCUCAACAACUACUGGCUUUGGAUCAGGGUAUCUGGCCCAUCAGCUGUCACCACCAGCUCAGCCUCCAUCCUUCCUCUCCCCACCACCCUCAGAACCACUGUCC